CGGCGAACGGGUGAGUAACACGUGGGCAACCUGCCCUCAGCUCUGGGAUAACCCCGGGAAACCGGGGCUAAUACCGGAUACGACCUCGAGGGGCAUCCUUCGAGGUGGAAAGAACUUCGGCUGAGGAUGGGCCCGCGGCCUAUCAUGCUUGAUGGUGAGGUAACGGCCCACCAUGGCGACGACGGGUAGCCGGCCUGAGAGGGCGACCGGCCACACUGGGACUGAGACACGGCCCAG
rnacentral:rRNA from 1 species